AGUCGGACCGCAGGUCUAAGAGAACCGACGAUCCAGUUCAAAUAAACCGGUUCAGUCUAACAAAGUGAUUCCCGGAAAAUAAUCGACGUCUCAGGGCAUUUCAAAGUGCGCGGAUGCACAGCGAGUGUGGUAGGCCGCGUUAGUGAGGUGAUUUUAUGCUUUUGUGGUUUAUAAAGUCUUUUUACAUACAAGUUAUAACUCAAAAUGUUGUUUUUUCCUGUCAGAAAAGCACAUGGAUACAUUUGUGAGAGAAAAACUCGUCGAGUGCAGCCUUAUUGAGGCGUCUAACGGUUGGAACAAACAUGGAAUUCCUUAACCGAGCAGAGUCGACAAAACCCCAUACAAUUGUUGUGGCGAUUUAAAAAUGCCAGCAGAUCUCUCAGGCAUUGAUCAUAAUCAAUGGACAGGUCACCGUAGCCACCAGAUCCAGUAUGUAUCCAGAUCAGAUGGUGGAUCAGCAC